rnacentral:lncRNA from 1 species
GUCUCUUCAAAGGGUGCAUGUUUGGGAAGUGGUGUUAGUGCUCAAACAGCAAGGAGUUGCUCAGACAAGGAUGCAAAUGAGCUUUUUUAUGCUAAGUCAGUGCUAGCCACUCCCCCACCACCACCUUCCUGGCUGGGGGUGGGAGGGGGCUAAGCACAACUCAGCACUGGUGCUCAGAGCAUCUCCAAAAUGUUUGGGGCUGGGGCCUCUCUCUCCCUCCCCCCACAGGGAAAGAGGAGCAGCUCCACUGCCAGCACUACAAGGAUAUGGCCCAAUCUAAGCACAAGAAAAAUCCGGCAUCAGACGUAGACCCAAGAGCUCUGGCAACACUGACAAGUCCUGGGCAUUAGCAGACUAGGUACAAAUGAAACCCUCCAACCAGGGAGCAAAGAAUAGGCAAAGUGUGCCAAAGUGGCAGCAGUCAGCUGCUCGACAGUGCUGAAGCACCCAGUGCUGAACGGGGGCUGCCAGUGUGUCCCUCGGCACGAGGCCAGCACCAGGUUUCCUUCCCUCUCCCCUUGGUCCACUCCAGCACCCGUGAGCCCUCGGUGCACAGAAGGGAGCAGAGAGCUGGCACUGCCUCUACCGACAGCACGGGUGCUCUGCCCUAUCCUGCACCAGAGCCCAGAAAGCCUGAAUGCUCAGCACACCAGGGACAGAGAUGGAAGAAGAACAAGUGACCGGUGAGCGCAGCAUGGAGGCCUGAGGAAGCUGUGGGUCAAGGGUUGCAAUCUUUUACAGAGGGCUGUGUCUAGCUUCAGCGAGCCCCUAAGCAUCGUGGAAUUCAGGUAGCUCCAAAGCCAGCCCCAGAGCUGACUGGCUCUCCCACGGGCGGAGUGCAGUAACCAGAGGAGGAAAUCAACACAAAAUCUCAACUUAAAUCUGCUUGAGGACUUUAAAGACCGGCCGACGAGCGGGGGACCUGCCUUACGACUUCUUUGCAUCUUGUGUGUUCCUCCGCUUCAGGUCGCUCAGAUCCACGGGCUUAAACGCUUUCAGGCUGGGGUUCGGCAUCUUCUCCACGUACUCCUCGACCAGGCCGCGCUCGGAGCCCAUCUGGCUGCGCAGGUCGCGCUCCACGCACUGCCAGGCCUCGUAGAUGAAGCGCACGUUCUCCUCGUGGGCCGGCGUGAAGAUCUCGCUGCCGGCGCCGGGGGAACGCGGGCCGCCGCUCCGCUUGCCGUUGUAAACGACGCGAGACACGGGGGAGCUGGCCAUGGCGCGGUGCGUGCGGCGGCGCGGCUCGGCUCGGCGCGGCUGGGCCCGACUCCCGCCUCCGCUCGCCCUCGGGCCGCCACGGAAGCGCCGCAGCGCGCAGGCGCGGUCCCGCCCCCCGAGCCGACGCGGCCCCGCCCAGACGUCACGUGGCCCCGCCCCUCCCCGCUCUCCCCCCCCCC